UACGAAGGGGGCUAGCGUUGCUCGGAAUCACUGGGCGUAAAGCGCACGUAGGCGGGUCUUUAAGUCAGGGGUGAAAUCCUGGAGCUCAACUCCAAAACUGCCUUUGAUACUGAGGAUCUCGAGUCCGGGAGAGGUGAGUGGAACUCCGAGUGUAGAGGUGAAAUUCGUAGAUAUUCGGAAGAACACCAGUGGCGAAGGCGGCUCACUGGCCCGGUACUGACGCUGAGGUGCGAAAGCGUGGGGAGCAAACAGG
rnacentral:rRNA from 1 species